UGUCUGCUGUCUUUUAUUUUCACAUCACCUCCAGAUCCUGUUCUAACACCUUCCUAUAGUAUGCCUUCUCCGUUGUGAAGAAUGGUAAGAUCUAUAAAAUGUGGUAAGUUGAGAGUAGCAGCAAGGGGGAAGAAAAUGACACAUGAUAGGGACAUUUUCUAAAACUUAUUCUCAGAGCCAGAGGGAUGACUUGGCAGUUAAGCGCACAAUUGCUCCUUCAGAGAAUUUGGGUUCAGUUCCUAGCACCCACAUCAACACGUGUGUAACUUCUAGUUGUGUCCUCUCCAGGGACUUCACACACAUGGUCCACAGACACACAUGCAGAAAAACACCUAUACACAUAAAACAAUGAAAUACAAAACUGUACAAGAAUAUGACUCUUGACUGUGUCGAGGAAACGGGGAGGGUCCCAGGCAGAGGGAGCAGGAAAUGCAAAAAUCAGAAGGGAUUAAUGAGCUGUGUUGGACUCAUGAGCAGAAAAAAUACUUAGCGCCAGGUUUUCUCAGAAUCUGGUUUUCAGAACUGGGAAAUUUUCAUGAUGGAUAGAACCAACUGUGAGCAAUAGAAACCUGCCUUGCGCACACCAAUAAAACACUUUGUUCCAGGUUGUGGUUUUGCGGCAACUUCAACCCACACUUUGCUUUGUUUCCUCAUUUCCCAAUAAAACCUCUGCCUGGUACUGAUGCCCCUGCUUCGCAGCUGAUGAGCCACCAGUUUCCUUGUCAGGAGCUGCUGGAGGCCGCAGGACCUGCUUUUGACAAACUGAGACCACCCACACAGAUGGCACAGAUCAUCCAGCGGAAAUUCCUAAUGUUCCAACCAUUAUAGAUAGGAUCACCGGCCAGCACACCAGGACACCCUAGACAAAUGUCAGCCCCUCACCCCUACCUUUGCUACUAUAAAAACCCAACUCUGAUUGAGCUUGGGGCCUUCUAAUCACUCCAACAUGUUGGACACAUGGAGAAUCCGAGUUUGCAAACUUGUGUAAGAAUAAAGGCUCUUUGUUUUUACGUA